rnacentral:rRNA from 1 species
UACGUAGGGUGCAAGCGUUACUCGGAAUUACUGGGCGUAAAGCGUGCGCAGGCGGCUUUGCAAGACAGAUGUGAAAUCCCCGGGCUCAACCUGGGAACUGCAUUUGUGACUGCAAGGCUGGAGUACGGCAGAGGGGGAUGGAAUUCCGCGUGUAGCAGUGAAAUGCGUAGAUAUGCGGAGGAACACCGAUGGCGAAGGCAAUCCCCUGGGCCUGUACUGACGCUCAUGCACGAAAGCGUGGGGAGCAAACAGG